UACGGAGGGAGCUAGCGUUGUUCGGAAUUACUGGGCGUAAAGCGCGCGUAGGCGGCUUUGUAAGUUAGAGGUGAAAGCCCGGGGCUCAACCCCGGAACAGCCUUUAAGACUGCAUCGCUAGAAUCCGGGAGAGGUGAGUGGAAUUCCGAGUGUAGAGGUGAAAUUCGUAGAUAUUCGGCAGAACACCAGUGGCGAAGGCGGCUCACUGGACCGGCAUUGACGCUGAGGUGCGAAAGCGUGGGGAGCAAACAGG
rnacentral:rRNA from 1 species